rnacentral:tRNA from 1 species
AGUAUUUUAAGUUAAUAAAGACUAAAUGUUUUCAAAAUAUUAAGUGAAGUAAUCUUCAUAUACUG